rnacentral:rRNA from 1 species
AUUGAACGCUGGCGGCAGGCUUAACACAUGCAAGUCGAGCGGGGUGAUGGUGCUUGCACUAUCACUUAGCGGCGGACGGGUGAGUAAUGCUUAGGAAUCUGCCUAUUAGUGGGGGACAACAUCACGAAAGGGAUGCUAAUACUACAUACGCCCUACGGGAGAAAGCAGAGGAUGAGUAGUGACCUUGCGCUAAUAGAUGAGGCUAAGGUGGAUUGGCUAGUUGGUGGGGUAAAGGCCUACCAAGGAGACGAACUGUAGGGGGUCUGAGAGGAUGAUCCGGCACACUUGGACUGGGACACGGGCCAGACUCCUAAGGGAGGCAGGAGUUGGGGAUAUUGGGAAAUGGGGGGAACCCUGAUCCAGCCAUGCCGCGUGUGUGAAGAAGGCCUUAUGGUUGUAAAGCACUUUAAGCGAGGAGGAGGCUCUUUUGGUUAAUACCCAAGAUGAGUGGACGUUACUCGCAGAAUAAGCACCGGCUAACUACGUGCCAGCAGCCGCCGUAA